ACGAACGCUGGCGGCAUGCCUAACACAUGCAAGUCGAACGAACCCUUCGGGGUUAGUGGCGCACGGGUGCGUAACGCGUGGGAACCUGCCUUUUGGUUCGGAAUAACAGUGAGAAAUUACUGCUAAUACCGAAUGAUGUCUACGGACCAAAGAUUUAUCGCCAUUAGAUGGGCCCGCGUAGGAUUAGCUAGUUGGUGGGGUAAAGGCCUACCAAGGCGACGAUCCUUAGCUGGUCUUAGAGGAUGAUCAGCCACACUGGGACUGAGACACGGCCCAGACUCCUACGGGAGGCAGCAGUGGGGAAUAUUGGACAAUGGGCGAAAGCCUGAUCCAGCAAUGCCGCGUGAGUGAUGAAGGCCUUAGGGUUGUAAAGCUCUUUUACCCGGGAUGAUAACGACAGUACCGGGAGAAUAAGCCCCGGCUAACUCCGU
rnacentral:rRNA from 1 species